rnacentral:rRNA from 1 species
CCUACGGGUGGCAGCAGUGAGGAAUAUUGGUCAAUGGACGCAAGUCUGAACCAGCCAUGCCGCGUGCAGGAAGACGGCUCUCUGGGUUGUAAACUGCUUUUGUACGAGGGUAAACGCAGAUAAGCGUAUCUGUCUGAAAGUAUCGUACGAAUCAGGAUCGGCCAACUACGCGCCAGGACCGGAGGUAAUACGGAGGAUUCAAGCGUUAUCCGGAUUUAUUGGGUUUAAAGGGUGCGUAGGUGGUGUUGCAAGUUAGUAGCGUAACUCAAAGGCUCAACCUUGGAACUACUACUAAAACUGUUGGACUUGAGUGCAGGAGGGGCAACCGGAAUUCCUAGUGUAGCGGUGGAAUGCGUAGAUAUUAGGAGGAACACCAGUGGCGAAGGCGGGUUGCUAGACUGUAACUGACACUGAGGCACGAAAACGUGGGGAGCAAACAGGAUUAGAUACCCCAGUAGUC